rnacentral:rRNA from 1 species
GAUGAACGCUAGCGGCAGGCCUAAUACAUGCAAGUCGAACGGUAACAUGAGUAGCAAUACUUGAUGACGAGUGGCGCACGGGUGCGUAACACGUAUGUAAUCUUCCCACAACUGGGGGAUAGCCCGGAGAAAUCCGGAUUAAUACCCCAUAACCCAGCGAGGUGGCAUCACCUUUCUGGUAAAUCUCCGGAGGUUGUGGAUGAACAUGCGUCCGAUUAGCUAGUUGGCGGGGUACCGGCCCACCAAGGCUACGAUCGGUAGGGGUAGAGAGCGGUUAAACCCCCACACCGGUACUGAGACACGGACCAGACUCCUACAGGAGGCAGCAGUAAGGAAUAUUGGACAAUGGAGGCAACUCUGAUCCAGCCAUGCCACGAGAAGGAUGAAGGCGCUAUGCGUUGUAAACUUCUUUUGAACGGGAAAAAACCCCUUUACGUGUAAAGGGUUGAUUGUACCGUUAGAAUAAGGGUCGGCUAACUUCGUGCCAGCAGCCGCCGUAACAC